rnacentral:rRNA from 1 species
GAUGAACGCUGGCGGCGUGCCUAAUACAUGCAAGUCGAGCGAAGCGGGGACGGGUGAGUAACACGUGGAUAACCUACUAUAAGACUGGGAAAACUUCGGGAAAACGGAGAUAAACCGGAUAAGUAUCGCUAGAUUCACCAUGCAUUAGCUAGUUGGUAAGGUAACGGCUUACCAAGGAAACGAUGCAUAGCGGACCUGAGAGGGUGAUCGGCCACACUGGAAGUGAGACACGGUCCAGAUUCCGACGGUAGGCAGCAGUAGGGAAUCUUUCGCAAUGGGCGAAACCCUGACGGAGCAACGCCGCGUGAGUGAUGAAGGUCUUCGGAUCGUAAAACUCUGUUAUUAGGGAAGCGGUACCUAAUCAGAAAGCCACGGCUAACUACGUGCCAGCAGCCGCGGUAAUAC